rnacentral:rRNA from 1 species
UUGAAGCCUCGUGCUUCAGCUAGUAUCUCAAUCGUAACUGACGAGCUACAGUCUGUAGACGCGGAUCUAUACUAGAGUAGUGCGAAUGGUAUAGAUCUGUAUGCAUUCCGUGGGUACGCGGCCCUCUGACAAGGCUGAAGUCAUGCACGAGAGGCGUGCGUAGCCCACAGGAUUUGAUACCGUGUAGUCACGCUGUAAACGAUGUCUAGUAGUAGAUUGGUGUCUUGAACACUGGGCUCUGAAGCUUACGCAUUAAGUUGACCGCCUGAGGAGAACGGUCGCAAGGUUAAAACUCAAAAGAAUUGGCGGGGGCCCGCACAACAGGUGGAGCACGUGGUUCUAUUCGAUGCAACGCGAAGAACCUUACCUACUCUUGACAUCCACGGAAGACUGCAGAAAGGCGGUUGUGCCUUCGGGAACCGUGAGACAGGCCCUGCAUGGCUGUCGUCAGCUCGUGUUGUGACAUGAUGGGUUAAGUCCCGAAACGAGCGCAACCCCUAUCGGUAUUUCCCAGCACGUAAUGGUGGGAACUCUAGCGAGACUGCCGAUUAUAAACCGGAGGAAGGUGGGGACGACGUCAAGUCAUCAUGGCCCUUACGAGUAGGUCGUCGCACGUGCUACAAUGGCGAGUACAGAGGGUUGCAAAGCCGCGAGGUGGAGCCAAUCUCACAAAGCUCGUAGUAGUCCGGAUUGGAGUCUGCAACUGGACUCCAUGAAGUCGGAAUCGCUAGUAAUCGUCAUCAGAAUGCCACGGUGAAUACGUUCCCGGGCCUUGUACACACCGCCCGUCACACCAUGGGAGUGGGCCGCAAAAGAAGUGGGUAGCUUAACCUUCGGGGGGGCGCUCACCACUUUGUGGUUCAUGACAGGGGCGAAGUCGUACAAGGAACCA